rnacentral:rRNA from 1 species
AUUUGGAGAGGAUGUUUCUGGCAAGGCGCCGUCCGAGUUCCUUGGAACAGGACGCCAUAGAGGGUGAGAGCCCCGUACCGGCGGAUGCCUAGCCUUUGUGAAACUCCUUCGACGAGUCGAGUAGUUUGGGAAUGCUGCUCAAAAUGGGAGGUAAAUUUCUUCUAAAGCUAAAUAUUGGCCAGAGACCGAUAGCGCACAAGUAGAGUGAUCGAAAGAUGAAAAGCACUUUGAAAAGAGGGUUAAAAAGUACGUGAAAUUGUUGAAAGGGAAGCGCCUAUGACCAGACUUGCGGCCUACGGACCAUCCGGUGUUCUCACCGGUGCACUCCGUGGGUUGCAGGCCAGCAUCGGUUUUCCUAGGGGGAUAAAGGCCGCAGGAACGUAGCUCUUUCGGGAGUGUUAUAGCCUGUGGUGUCAUGCCUCUGGGGAGACCGAGG